CAGGUACUGCAGUCUCUGCAGAGUUUGUUUGUUCACUUUCAAAGCAAAAGUGCAAGUCUAUAAAUAGACUGGUCUGAAUGAGAGUAUAAUCGGUGGUAAUUAUUGAGAGCUAUGCACCAUUCCUUCUUUGCGCAGAAAAUGACUGCAUCAAUUAGCUCUCAUUGCCCUAAAAAAUGUGCUCUGUGUAUUUCUGACCUGUGAAAUGCUUGUGAAAGUUGCCAGUGGCACAAGUCCUCUACCAUGAUUUAUCAGCAUGCAGUAUUAAUUUAUUAUUUAUAACCAGGGGAUCAACAAUAUAUGUAUCCCAGUGAAAUAAUUUGUUAGAGAGAAAACACAAAGAGGAUAAUAUAGCUUGGUUACACAACUAGUAUGCAAACCGCAUCCCUGACGGCUUAUUACUGGUUGUGUGUAAGAUGCUUAUUAUCAAAGUGAAAAGGCAGAAUUUGCCAUCUAAGAAGCUAUUUUGUAUAGAAUCAAAGAAAAUGGAAGAAUAGCUCAAACAAUUUGCACCAAUUAUUUUCCCUUUUAUUGAUGAUUAGUAUCAAACUAUCUUUUCAUCAUAAAGAAAUAUGUCAUAGUGAUAAAUUGUGUUGGUUUUGAAUCUUAAUAUUAUGUAAUCUUUUCUAUGUUCGAUUCCCUAACUCUUGAUUUUGGAAAAUUAAUUUUGAAUUUAAACUGUUAGAUCUUAUCAGCAAAUAUGCUCCAUUCUUUAGUGGGCCAUUGUCUGUAGAUACUUAUUCCUUGGAGAGUAUAAUCCCAAUUGUUAGAAAAGAUAUAAGAUUAAAUCUUUGAAUUAGUUUGGGAAAGGAGAGAAAGAUGCUGAUUCCCUUGGCACAAUAAUUUACCUUUUGUGGUUUUCUUACAUAAAAAAUCCAAGCUUAUUUGCUAAUUAAUUUUUUAUGGAUAUUGAUCAGGCUGCAGCUAUUAGAUUGGAAUUCAGGGGUGGUGAGUGGAAAGAUGCAUUUAUGCAGAUGGAUGGAGAACCAUGGAAACAGCCACUGAACAGAGACUACUCGACGUUCGUUGAGAUUAAGAGAGUGCCCUUUCAAUCUCUAAUGAUCAGUGGGGAGUAAAUUAUCUGGCAGUUAGUUCAUUCGGGUUUGGCUCCCUGGGUUGUUCGUUGAGAUUGAGAGAGUGCCCUUUCAAUCUCUAAUGAUCCAUGGGGAUUAAUUAUCUGGCAUUUAGUUCAUUUGGGUUUGGCUCCCUGGGUUGCUCAUUUUUGUUUCCAUCUUGGACCAUUGUAAAUUAUGACUGUAGUCUGUAGAUUAUAUUCAUAUGCCCAAAAUUGUAGGAGCAUUACUGU
rnacentral:lncRNA from 1 species